rnacentral:sRNA from 1 species
GAAACAAAUAGGCAAGUUUGGGGAACAAGGCGAGUUGACAAU